GAGAGCUGAGACUUGCCAGUUCCCACAGGCCAAGCCAGGCGUCUGCACCCCAUUCUCUUGGUUCCGACGGUGUAUGGAGUCUUGCUCUGUCACCCAGACUGGAGUACAGUGGUGUGAUCUCAGCUCACUGCAACCUCCACUUCCCAGGUUCAAGCGAUUUUCCUGCCCCAGCUUCCCGAGCAGCUGGGACUACAGAAUAUGCUCUCCAUGAGGGUGUUCUUCAGGGCCUACCACAAUGGCUGGCACUAGAGAAGGGCACAAAAUUGAAGAACAGUGAAGACAAAAGCAAUAAGAUGAUUAAGGCCAUGUGAGACAGCAACAAUAUCAGGUGAAUGUCACCCUUUAUCGAGUUGUGAGUAUCCAGCCUCUCACUUUGGGGGAUACUGUUUGAGCCUAAGUAACAUUAGUGGCUUUAUUCAUUUGGUAGAUUGUUUGUAUCUUUGCGUUGUCUCUAUCCUGCUUUUUCCUUGGCCAUUUUGCUAUUAAAAAUCUGUUGAUUUAC
rnacentral:lncRNA from 10 species